UAUAUACAGGUUACCACUUCAAGCAUUUCCAGUCAACUAAGCAUACUUCUUUCUCAUACAUGAGUGACACGCAUAUUAAACAUAUACAUUGAGCCGUACGUGAGAGAAUAA